GUGGGGAAUCUUAGACAAUGGGGGCAACCCUGAUCUAGCCAUGCCGCGUGAGUGAUGAAGGCCUUAGGGUUGUAAAGCUCUUUCAGCUGGGAAGAUAAUGACGGUACCAGCAGAAGAAGCCCCGGCUAACUCCGUGCCAGCAGCCGCGGUAAUACGGAGGGGGCUAGCGUUGUUCGGAAUUACUGGGCGUAAAGCGCACGUAGGCGGACUGGAAAGUUGGAGGUGAAAUCCCAGGGCUCAACCUUGGAACUGCCUUCAAAACUAUCAGUCUGGAGUUCGAGAGAGGUGAGUGGAAUUCCGAGUGUAGAGGUGAAAUUCGUAGAUAUUCGGAGGAACACCAGUGGCGAAGGCGGCUCACUGGCUCGAUACUGACGCUGAGGUGCGAAAGUGUGGGGAGCAAACAGGAUUAGAAACCCUAGUAGUCC
rnacentral:rRNA from 1 species